rnacentral:rRNA from 1 species
UGCGUAGGUGGUCCUGUAUGUCGGGUGUGAAAGCCCACGGCUCAACCGUGGAAUUGCACUUGAAACUGCUAAUCUUGAGUACGGAAGAGGAGAGCGGAAUUCCUGGUGUAGCGGUGAAAUGCGUAGAUAUCAGGAAGAACACCGGUGGCGAAGGCGGCUCUCUGGUCCGAUACUGACGCUGAAGCGCGAAAGUGUGGGGAGCGAACAGGAUUAGAUACCCUGGUAGUCC